CCAAGAUUGGGCCACUGCACUCCAGUCUGGGUGAUAGAGUGAGACCCUAUCUCAAAGAAAAAAAAGUAGGCAAGGAACUUUAUUGGUGAUAUUCUUCACAAACCCUCAGCAGUUUCCUGCACCUGCAACUCCUCAGGUACUAUAGUCAUGUUUUCUUGUAUUCCAGUGUCUGGAAUUUAUUCCUUCUGGUGGAUUCUUGGUCUUGCUGACUUCAAGAAUGAAGCCGCGGACACUCGCGAAAUCCUUGCUCUGAUCUGCCUGACUUCAGAGUGUAAACUCUUAAAUACACAGUCUGCUGCUUCUCCAGAUCAAGAUGCUGUCAUCUCCCUGCUCUGCUAUGUCUUCAUUCCUCACAGUACCUGAACACAAAGCUGUGGUGUUAUCAGACUUUAACUGAAGGUUUGGGGUCCCGAAGAGGAUUAUAACAUAGCACAAAACUCAAAAUUGAACAUUGAUGAUGUCAUUAUGAAUAUCCAAAAGUUCCCUGACCAAACUCAUUUUAAGGACUGCGGUAAUUUAAAAGUAUGUCUACAAAUUAGUUGAUACUUCUUUAUUCAAAAGGUGGAGCCGAAUUCCCCUCCCCUUGAAUGUGGACUAGGAGUUAGUGACUCACUUUCAACAAAUAAUGUGUGGCAGAAGUGAAGAUAUUUGACUUCUGAGGCUAGGUCAUACAAAGGAUAAAGUUUCUACCUGGCUCGUUCUCUUUAGGAUCACCCUGGGGGAAGCCAGCUACCAUGUAAUGAAGGUACUCAAGCAGCCCUGGGAAAGAACCAUGUGAAAAGAAACUGGGGCCUCCCACCAAUAGCCAGCAUCAACUUGCCAGCCAUGCAUGCCAUCUUGGAAAGAUAUCUCCUAGUUCCAGCUAAGACUUUAGCCGCCUAUAACCCCAGCUGACAUCUUGUUUGCAACCUCAUGAGAAGAUCCUUAGUUGAGGGGCAACCAAACUCCUGACCCACAGAAAUUGUGAGAGAUAAUAAUGCUUAUUGCUAUUUUAAGCUGCAAAGUUUUGGAGUAAUUUGCUAUGUAGCAACAGAUAAGUAAUACAGAGAGUCUCUCAUGGGCCGUUUUCUUCCGUC
rnacentral:lncRNA from 1 species